rnacentral:lncRNA from 1 species
CAUAUACGGCUUUUGGAUUUAUAGAACACACAUUUAGAGGAACUGUCUCUGAAUGGUGGAGAAAGUUACCAGAAACCAUCAAAGGAGGUGUAAAAUAUGGAGCAAAUAGAACUGAAGUACUAGAUAAUAGAAAUUCCUUAAAUGAACAAAAUAUACAAGAAGUAUUAAAAAGAUUUGAGAAAAUCUUAAGGAUAGAAUUUCUAGGAAAUAGACAUACCUCUAAUGAAGAAGAAAGAACACAAGAAGAAUAUAACCAAGGAAUGAUUGCAAUGGAAAAUCUAAAGAUAUGUGAUAUGUGUGAG